CCGCGCCGCCUCCUCCGAGACCACAACUCCCAGCAUGCAGCGGGGCUCCCGCGGCCUCUCGGGAAGAGGGUGCCCAGCCCGCGGGGCGGGGCGCGGGGCACGCUGGGACUGGGAGUGUGCGGCUGCGCAGACUGGGCAACGCGAGAAUGCUCGGGGGAGGGCGUGUGACGCCUCGGGAGACAGAGGCGGUGCGCGUUGGUGGGGCAACUGAGGGAAGGGCGAGCGGCCGUCUGCGUCUGCGGCCCUUGCAAGCGAGGCGGAGUUCCAGAUCACUUCCAUGCCCUUCACAGCACUUGUGACUCUUCGGAUUAGUGAAUAGACAGUAAGCUCCUUUGAGCGGGAGCUUUGUCCCGGCGCCAUACCACGGUGCCCGCACCUAGUAGGUGCUCGGCUGGUGGGGCCGACGGAGCACCCUCGUUUGCUGAGUCAUUCAGCAAACCCAGAAGCUCGUCCUGGGCGCGGCCCUGGAAAUGACUCGUGCUGGGCCCUGCCGUCUGAGGACGAAUGGGAGGAGUUCCUGGAGAGACAGACGGUCAGCGAAGAGCUGGGCAGCUCAGGGAAUGGUCUGGCCCGCUGGAGAAUCCCGGAAGGGCUUUCCGGAGGAGUUGCUUUUGUGCCAAGCCUUGCCGGUUGUCGGCGAGAAGAAAUGAGGGAGGGGGGCCCCCGCUCCAGGUUGAGGAUCCGGUUGUGAGCAAGGCAUGGCGGUGUGACUGCCCAAGAUCUAUGGGGAAAGAAGUCAUGUUUGGCUGGAGCAAAGGCUAUGUCAAGGGGAACAAUGAGAUUUAAAGUUCGUGGGGCCAAUGGGUGGAUCAAGGGAUGCCAGGUGGGGAGUUUGGGAUUUAUUUUCAAGGCAUGUGUAAUCGUAGGGUAGCGUGUGAUAAGUAGUCUAAGAAAGACAAUGCUGUGAGCUCUGAGAGGAGGGGGAGGUGGGCGCUGCUGGCUGUGGUUAGGGAAGAUUUUCUGGAGUCUUGACCUGGACGGUAGAAGUUGGAGGUGCAGAUGUGGCGAGAUGCUUUUUUGCAGUAUUGGUUUAGGGAUUGCUACUUGUAUUUUCCCCUUACCUCCCAUUUCUAGUAGGUAGCCAGGAUUUGUAAAUCCUUGCCUCAGGGAUUUUGGUAGGACAGGAAGUCUUUGAAAACCUAAUCCCAGGUGUGAAAUUCAAAUGGCUACCAGAGGCAGGCAGGUUACUUCAAUCAGUGAAGAGGCCCAGGUGUGACAUCACUUGAUUUCCAUCCCCCACACAAAAAAGUAAGCACAGGCUGUUCUUCUAGAGAUGCUUCCGAAAUGCAGCUGCAUCUUCAGAUCCAGGACCCAUUGAUAAUCUCUUCUGGAGUUUUGGCCACAAGCUAAAACUGCAGUCCCUAGACUAAGUCCAGCAGACUCACCAGAGCCGGUAUUUAGCCGGUAUGUGCCCUCUGCCACACUGAUGGUUAAAAUAUUGAAAUACUUCGUGGUAAAUCGUAUCACGGUAAUUGCAAUGUGUUACAGUUAGGUAAUAAUACACAUUUCAAUAUAAACUUAUUGGUUUCUACUGAUAGUUUUAGGAUGUUAGUGCCAUUGGAAAAGGGCUUUCUAUUGUAGCCACAUCUGAGAAACAUUCAUGACACAGUUUGGCCUGUGUCACCGAAGGGACUGUGGCUAAGUUGUAUGUGUUAACAAAACACUAAUUGCUUUAGGAGUUAUCACUAGCUUAAAAUACUUUUAAUUUUAUUGUUAGUAGAUGGUAAUUCUUUCAAAAAGUAGCAGAUGUGCAGUGUUUUUAUAUUUAUACAUUUAAGAUUUUAUUAUAAAAUAUUGAAAACAAAUACCUAGAAUGAAGAGACAACAAAAUCUGGAUAAGUUUCUUUGUUUUUUGAGGAAGAUCAGCCUUGAGCUAACAUCCAUGCCAAUCCUCCUCUCCUUGCCGAGGAAGAGCGGCCCCGAGCCAACAUCUAUUGCCACUUCUCCUCCUUUUUUUCCCCAAAGCCGCAGUAGAUAGCUGUAUGUCAUAGUUGCACAUCCCUUUCAGUUGCUGUACGUGAGACGCGGCCUCAGCAUGGUCGGACAAGCGGUGCGUCGGUGCGUGCCCGGGAUCCGAACCUGGGCCGCCAGCAGCGGAGCAUGGGCACUCAACCGCCAAGCCAUGGGGCUGGCCCCUGGAUAAGUUUUUAAUACUUUUAAAUGUAAUAAACAUGAAUCUUGUUAAUAUGCAGAAGAACAAAGAAGGAAUUAUAGUGAAUCCCAGCCUGGAACUUGUUUUGAUCCUCUGCAAGAAUCUGCACAAAGUAAAACUUGUAUUAAAUAAAUUUUAUUACAUAAAACCUGAAGUUCUGGAAUGGAAAAUAACUUGAUUUUAUUCAAUCAGUAAUUUGACUUAUUGCUACUGAGAGAAAUGUUGGAUGCAAAUAGCACUCAAAAGUUACGGGUUAAAAGAUCAAGGUGCUAAACAUGUAUAUAUUUCAUCAGGGUGCUGUUAAAACUUGUGGUUCAAGUGAAGAAAAUUUGUGAUCAUUAAGGAAGAAAUUUAAGACAGUUUCAUACAUGAAACAUUUGAAAGCUUAAAACUGCAAAAUGUUAUCAGAGUGAGGAUAAAGCAAUCAAAAAGAUGUAGAAGGUACUGUCAGAAUUUUUCGCACUAUAUAAUAAAAUAAUUGAGCAUUUCCAUGAUGAUAAUAGAAUUUCUAAAGGAAUAAUAUUGAUAGGGACAUGGGUACUAUGGAUCCACUUGUUACAAAAUAUAGAUGUACCUAAAUGAGAAAACUUUUUGGGAAACAUGAAUCAAGGUAGUUCAUUUUAAAUCAUUAUCAAAGAAGCUGAAACGUCACGUAAAGGUGUUUUAAUAAUUUGCUUAAAAUACAAAUUUCAAGAGUUUGAGGUUAAUGGUUCUUGUCGACCUUAUAGCAGUGGGAAUCACAUUUAAAUACAACAUAUUGAACUUGCUGGUGGGCAGGAAAAAUUAUAUUUCAUUGAAAAAUAUUUCCAUAAAAAUGUCGUUGGAAUAUUUUACAACAAUUAAAAAAAAGUCAUUGGGUUAAAAGUGCCAGCGUAAUGCUAGAGAGAGACUAGAGUUUCAGCCAAAAGUUUAGAAAAAAUUUGGAUGUUUUAAUUUGGCACUAAAUUAUCAAAUUAAUUUUAGAUAAAGCAAUACAAGGCCUAAGUCAAAUAAUUUUCAUAUUUUUCCUCAACAAGCUGUAUUCACUAUCACAUCUAAUAUCAGAACUGCAAAUUAAGUAAUGAAAAUUGAAGCUUGUUGGACAGCAGUGUGGAGAUCAGUAUCAUAAGAAAUUAUUGCCUAAUCUAAGGUCAAGAAGAUUUACACCCAUAUUCUUCUAAGAGUUUUAGCUCCUACAUCCAUUAUGAGUUAAUUUUUUAUGGUGUGAGGUGGGGCUUCAACUUCAUUUUUUCAGAUAUGGAUAUCUAAUUGUUCCAGCACCAUUUAUUGAAAAGACUAUUUUUCCCCUCAAAAUUCAUACGUUGAAGCCCUAACCUCCAGUACCUCAGAAUGUGACUAUAUUGGAGAUAGAGCCUUUAAAGCAUUAAGUUAAAAUGAGGCCAUUAGGGUGGGCCCUAAUCCAACGUGACUGGUAUCCUUACAUGAGGAGGAAGUGUGGACACACACAGAGACACCAGGGAUGCGUGUGUGGAGGGAUGACCACAUGAGGAGGCAGCAGGAGAGCAGCCAUCUGCAAGCCAAGGAGAGAGGAAACCAACCCUGCCGACACCUUGAUCUUGGACUUCCAGCCUCCAGAACUACCCUCUGCUUCAGUGUGUGUUGGCGGAACACAUGGUUCCAUCUAGGCAAGCCUCACCUGUGUGCCCAACGUCACGUACCUUGAGUCACUAGCUCCCAGUUCAGAAUUCCCAGGUGAGAGAAGCUGUGUGGCACAGCUUGGGCCAGGCAGCCAUCGCAGCCCAGUCAGCAGGGGCCUUGACACCUGGGGGUCACGAGGCACCGACUCUGCCUGGACCCAUCUCUUCGGGAAAUGAGAAGUCCUCAGGAGUCUGUGAACAAAACUGAUUCCCUUGUUCUGAUUAUAAAAUAAUUCAGGGCAUUAAAGAAUGUCAGAAGACACAGAGAAGCACAAACAAAUGAUGGAAAGUCUCCCGCAGUUCCCCCGUCUGGAGAGAAUUCAAUGUCAAUCCAUUUCUUCUUUGUUUCUCACCUGCUUUUUAGUAUGACUGUGACCACAUAUCGUUUUAUGUAUUGUUUUUAUAUGAAAUCUUAAAUCUUUUUAAUUUUCAGACAUUUUAAUAUUUAAAUGAGUAUUCUAAAUACUUUCAAUAAUUCAUGUAUUAUUUUCCUCCUGUCACUAACAAUUUUCCGUAAACCUCGUUUUCAUAUUACACCCUUGCGAGGUGUAUCCAGGGGGGCACCAUCGUUUUAUAUAACAAUUUCCCUAAAAUUGUUGAGUUUUUUUCCUAUUGUAAAUCACACUGGGAUGAAUAUAUU